rnacentral:rRNA from 1 species
UACAGAGGUGGCAAGCGUUGUUCGGAAUUACUGGGCGUAAAGGGCGCGUAGGCGGCCAUCUAAGUCAGACGUGAAAUCCCCCGGCUUAACCUGGGAACUGCGUCUGAUACUGGACGGCUUGAGUAUGGGAGAGGGAUGUAGAAUUCCAGGUGUAGCGGUGAAAUGCGUAGAUAUCUGGAGGAAUACCGGUGGCGAAGGCGGCAUCCUGGACCGGCAUUGACGCUGAGGCGCGAAAGCCAGGGGAGCAAACGGGG